AGUUAAGCAAGUAAACCACUGUUCAAGGGAAAUUCCAUGAGCUGCUCAAAGGAAGUAUGAUCUGAAGAUGUUACAGGUGGACACAGGGAGAUUACAAGGUUGAGAAGAUGCCUUACAAAGGCUCUUGGAUGUGAAGAUGGCAGGGGGAUAAGAGUAGUAGAGCAUAUUACUCCGCUGGGGGCUUCAUACUUCUUCAAGCAGUAUUGAGAACCUCCCAAAUGUUGAACAAGCUCUGUAAUGUGUACAUCAACGUCAUCAUCUCUGUGGACAGCCCUGGAAAAUAUACUGCCAAGG